rnacentral:rRNA from 1 species
GUCGAGAAUCUUCCGCAAUGCGCGAAAGCGUGACGGAGCGACACCGCGUGAUGGAUGAAGUCCUUCGGGGCGUAAACAUCUUUUAUAAAGGAGGAAAUUUUUGACGUUACUUUAUGAAUAAGGGGCUCCCAAUCUCGUGCCAGCAGGAGCGGUAAUACGAGAGCCUCAAGCGUUAUCCGGAAUCAUUGGGCGUAAAGGGUGCGUAGGUGGUUUGAUUAGUCUCCCGUUAAAACUUCGAGCUUAACUCGAAAAGAGCGGGGGAAACGGUCAAACUAGAGUAUGUGAGAGGUGUGUGGAACUCAUGGUGUAGGGGUGAAAUCCGUUGAUAUCAUGGGGAACACCAAAAGCGAAGGCAGCACACUGGCACAUCACUGACACUGAGGCACGAAACCUAAGGUAGCGUAUGCGAUUAGAAACCCCAGUAGUCC